UACGUAGGGUGCGAGCGUUGUCCGGAAUUACUGGGCGUAAAGCGUGCGUAGGCGGUUCGUUAAGUCUGUUGUGAAAGCCCCGGGCUCAACCCUGGGAAUGGCAAUGGAUACUGGCGAGCUAGAGUGUGUCAGAGGAUGGUGGAAUUCCCGGUGUAGCGGUGAAAUGCGUAGAGAUCGGGAGGAACAUCAGUGGCGAAGGCGGCCAUCUGGGACAACACUGACGCUGAGGCACGAAAGCGUGGGGAGCAAACAGG
rnacentral:rRNA from 1 species